rnacentral:lncRNA from 1 species
GGGAGGAAUGGAUGGUAGAGGGGGCAAGUUUCUUUUAUUCCUAGCUGCUGGCACCCAGUCCUCUUCCCCCUCAUGUUUGAAAGUCCGACGGGGCUUUGGCAGUGGGUUGAUGAAAGGCUUCUUCUCUGGCACCCCUGGUUCUGUGUACACAUUUUCUGUAGUGCAGUCCUUGGAUUUCACAUGAGAAGUUCUUACCUCUUCUAGAGUCCCAAAAAUUGGCUCGCUGAUUUCAGAGUCCAAACCAAGAAGCCUUUUGUUGAGCUCAGUCCCACAUAUGCUCUCAUGGCCCUCUGGAGCAGCGUGUCCUUGUGCUGACUUCUCCUGCAAGCACUGUGGGGAGUAAUAAGUACCAGGCAACUGUGGCUGCAGCUCUGCUGAGCCAUCCUUCAAAGCCUGCUCCAGCUUCUUGACCUGACUAAGCACUGAAAGAUUCUCCUUCUGGACCUCCCACUUCCCACCUUUCACUUCUUUGCAUUUUCCAAGGCUGGACUGCACUUCCUCAUCCUUCUCCACUUCCCCUUUCCGCUGUGCUCCCUGCUCCGUGCCUUUUGGAGUUCCUGCUUUCCGCUCAUUCUCUUUGCUUGCCCCUUUGCACUCCAGUUCCCAGUUCAUAAGUCUCUUAGUCUCCACUUUUCGAGACGUCAGUGCUUCUCCACUUGUCUUCUCAACUACACAUGGUAUCUUGCGCUCCUCUUUAGUUCCUUGCUCCUCCUCUCGACGAGGAGCAGACUGCAUUUCCUUUUUCCCUUCCCACUCUGAAAUUUUGUCCUUGAUGCUGAAGGACUUAUUCCUCAAGCCAAUUUUUCCAGGUGUCCGUGUACUCUGAGUACCUCCUAUCUGUUUCCUGAUGAUUCUACUGCUUUCUUUAACGUUCAGAUCCACAGAUGGGUCACUGAUGAUCAUUUUGGGACUGAGCAUGUUCUGCUGAAAGCAGUCUAGCCUUGGAUCGAGCAUCAAGUUCUCCAAGGCUCCCAGUGGGUUCUUCACCACACAAGAAACCGGUUCAGCUUCAGGUGUUAAACUCAGGGUGACAGAGGCACCUUCAGAACAUCUCUCACUUGAAAAUCCACACAGAAGUCUUCCUAAUUCCUUCACAGCUGCUGUACUGUUUUUAUCUGCAAGCUUGAUCCUCUCAGCAGACUUGCAGACACUGCUCUCAGACCUGCUGCUCGCAUCAGCCGCCUUGCUAGCUGUCAUCAUGUCAGCACACAGCUGGGCAGCAGUUCACCUUCCUCGGCGGCGGCGGGGGGCCGUGCCCCGGCAUGGCGGCGUUGCCCGGCGCCGUGCUGGCGGCCUGCGGACGCGCGGCUGGAGGCUCCCCGCCCGCCCCGCCAUGCAGCGCCGCGCCGCUGCCGCUGCCCCCGCCGCCGGCACCAGCCCCGAGCCCGGCCCCGGCCGCCCGCCCUCCGCCGCGAGCACCGCCCCGCCCCGCCCCCGUCGCGCCAACCGCGACGGGCAGAGAGCGGGCUGCGGGCUGCGGCGUGUGUGGCGGUGUGUCCCGGGUUGGAAGGGACCCACGAGGAUUACAUAGGAAGAAAGAAAGGGCCGGCAGUUUAAAAAGAGAUGAGGCGCACAGGAUAGUUUUCUGAUUGCGAACAGAAAUACCCAAAGGAAAGGAAAAAUUCCAAAGGGAAGGAAAGUCCCUACUUGAUACCAAAGUGACACCAGUUAUUCCCACAGAUAACCGUUGCUGGAGGAACCUCUGGCAGCUCUGGAAUGCUGAUGUGCCCAGGGAGCCAGGGCGUCCUCGGGAAUGGCUACACAGAAUCUCAGGGGUUGGAAGGGCCCUCUGGAGCUCAUCUAGCCCGACCCUCCGCUACAGCACGUUCCCUACAGCAGGUUCCACAGGAGAGCGUCCAGAUGUAUGCUGAACAUCUCUGGAGAAGCAGACUGCACCACCUCUCCGGGCACACCGUCCCAGUGCUCUGUCAGCCUCACAGUAAAGAAGUUCCUCAUGUCCAAAUGGGACUUCCUGCGUUCCAGUUUGUGCCCAUCGCCCCUUGUUCUGUCAGUGGGCACCGCAGAAAAGAGCCUGGCCCCAUCCACUUGACUCCCACCUGCUGGAUAUUUAUAAGCAUUGGGAAGAUCCCUCCUUAGCCUUCCCUUCUCCAGGCUGACCAGUCCCACAGCUCUCAGCCAUUCCUCAUCAGGGAGAUGCUCCAGGCCCCUCACCAUCUUGGCGGUCUCUCUCUGGAAGAUGGCUGCAUACCACUGCAGAGUCUGGCUCUGUGAGUCGAUCCACUCACCUGCAUGCGGCUGUAAUCAGCUCCCUGCCGGCACAUGGGUGUGUUUGCACACAUCUGUGCUACUCACUAAAGUGAGGGAAAAAGCUGGCUUGGAAAUCAUAUGUAUUUUUCCAACAGGGCUUUAGUUCUGAGGAUACAUUAAAAAUGAUAGGAAAGGAUUUCUUCCUUGAGUAGGUGUGCAGUUACUAACAUACAUUCCAUGCUGGGUUGUGUGUUGGCAACCCUGCCAGCAGCAGGGGUUGGAACUAGCGGGUGUUUGAGACCCCUUCUGACCCAAGCACGGAGUCGGCCUCUUCUCACAGGUAACAACAGGAUGAGAGGGAAUGGCCUUAAGUUGCACCAGGG